rnacentral:tRNA from 1 species
GGUCGGUUAGCUCAGUUGGUUAGAGCGUCGUACUAAUAAUGCGAAGGUCAUGGGUUCGACCCCCAUACUGACCA